UGUACUCGAUAUUACCCAAGCUUUCAAUUCACAUACUCCCUUUUGACACUCUCAUUGUGCAAAUAAUUGAAAUACUAAUCCCUACACUCCGCGGAAUGACAGUCGCGAUAAUCGAAUCAGACAAUAGAGUACUUAGAAGUGGCUAAAGUAAAAGGGCGCGCAACCCCGGAACAGACAGAUCCUAGAUGAGUAAAAAGUAAACUUGCUCCACACGCACCACCCCCGGAAGGCCUACACGUGACUUCACAUCCAUACAUGGGACUGAACGAUUAACUCUCUCUUUACGAAGAUAACUGCUUGUAUUUUUUUGCACUCCUUUCAAUCAAUUGUGUUCAAUGCUUUUUAGAUAAAAAAAUAAAAAUACUUUCUAUCAACACAAAUUUAUGGUUAUGUAUAAUCCGUGGGAAUGCAAUUAAAUAGAGACGCCAACAUUUUAAAAUGUCUUGGUAAAUAUUUAUUUUAAGGAUUCAAGAAAAUAUUCACAUCCAUGUCCGAACUGAGGACAAACAUUAGUCAAGUGCUCACCAACAUUCCAAUCUAAUCUGCGAUCAAGUGAUAUGGUUGAUGUUUGGAAUCUUUUAGUCGGGUUAUAACUGGCUGGGAGUGUGCUUUCAAACACAAUGGCAGUACAGUAAAUAUUGGAGAAAAAAAAUUAUCCUUGAAUAUCUUAAGUCUCGAACAGGAUAAUGAGGAUAAAUUAGUGGUGUGUUAAAGGGAAAAAAUUGUCAAAUGCUGGACAAUGGGACGUAAAAAAUGAUGAAGGAUGUUUUAUCAAUUAAUCUCAGAGACAUCCUGGUUUUUUAUCAAGGAUAUAUUGGUGUGAUUGUAACAAAUAUUCUAUCACUUCAUCAUGUAAAGUACUUUUUUAAGUGAUCUGUCAUGAUAAUUGUACUCUCGUCUCUGACAUAUAAAUAACUGAGACCAACAAAAUGACAAAUUAAUCAUAAGCUCCUGCUGUUUUUCAGAAUAUUAAUGACACAAGCAAGACAAUUAGAUUUUUUUUAUUUCAAUUAAAAAGAAUUAACGUGGACUAAAUGAUGCGGGUUAAUAGACUUGAGCACAAAAGUAUUUUGUUUUACAAGUGCUUAAAAAAGACGACCUCCCUGAAUCUGAAGUUUAUGCAGAGGGUUUAGAAAGCACGAGUACCACAGCCAAUGUGCUAAAAUAUAUUCUUUACAAGUAAAGGCACACUUGAGCACCUGGAUAAGACUGAAUAUCAUCAGUAACAGCUAUUAUUUUCGACCCUCGACAUCUCUCUAUUUUUUUAUCUUUCAA